rnacentral:rRNA from 1 species
AGGACGAACGCUGGCGGCGCGCUUAACACAUGCAAGUCGAACGUGAAGCCCGGGCUUGCCUGGGUGGAAAGUGGCGAACGGGUGCGUAACACGUGAGCAACCUGCCCCGAAGACCGGGAUAACAGCGGGAAACCGCUGCUAAUACCGGAUACCUUCAUCAUGUCGCAUGGCGAGAUGAAGAAAUGGAUUCCGCUUCGGGAUGGGCUCGCGGUCUAUCAGCUUUGUUGGUGAGGUAAUGGCUCA